CGGCAGCACGGGAGCAAUCCUGGUGGCGAGUGGCGAACGGGUGAGUAAUGUAUCGGAACGUACCUUUCAGUGGGGGAUAACGUAGCGAAAGUUACGCUAAUACCGCAUAUUCUGUGAGCAGGAAAGCAGGGGAUCGCAAGACCUUGCGCUGAUUGAGCGGCCGAUAUCAGAUUAGCUAGUUGGUGAGGUAAAGGCUCACCAAGGCGACGAUCUGUAGCGGGUCUGAGAGGAUGAUCCGCCACACUGGAACUGAGACACGGUCCAGACUCCUACGGGAGGCAGCAGUGGGGAAUUUUGGACAAUGGGGGCAACCCUGAUCCAGCCAUGCCGCGUGAGUGAAGAAGGCCUUCGGGUUGUAAAGCUCUUUCAGCCGGGAAGAAAUCACAUGGGUUAAUACCCUGUGUGGAUGACGGUACCGGAAUAAGAAGCACCGGCUAACUACGUGCCAGCAGCCGCGGUAAUACGUAGGGUGCGAGCGUUAAUCGGAAUUACUGGGCGUAAAGCGUGCGCAGGCGGUUUGUUAAGAUAGGCGUGAAAUCCCCGGGCUCAACCUGGGAACUGCGUUUAUGACUGGCAGGCUAGAGUAUGGCAGAGGGGGGUGGAAUUCCACGUGUAGCAGUGAAAUGCGUAGAGAUGUGGAGGAACACCGAUGGCGAAGGCAGCCCCCUGGGCCAAUACUGACGCUCAUGCACGAAAGCGUGGGUAGCAAACAGGAUUAGAUACCCUGGUAGUCCACGCCCUAAACGAUGUCAACUAGGUGUUGGGGUGGGUAAACCAUUUAGUACC
rnacentral:rRNA from 1 species